CCUACGGGAGGCAGCAGUGGGGAAUAUUGCACAAUGGGGGAAACCCUGAUGCAGCGACGCCGCGUGAGUGAAGAAGUAUUUCGGUACGUAAAGCUCUAUCAGCAGGGAAGACAAUGACGGUACCUGACUAAGAAGCCCCGGCUAACUACGUGCCAGCAGCCGCGGUAAUACGUAGGGGGCAAGCGUUAUCCGGAUUUACUGGGUGUAAAGGGAGCGUAGACGGCAGCGCAAGUCUGGAGUGAAAUCCCAUGGCUUAACCAUGGAACUGCUUUGGAAACUGUGCAGCUAGAGUGCAGGAGAGGUAAGCGGAAUUCCUAGUGUAGCGGUGAAAUGCGUAGAUAUUAGGAGGAACACCAGUGGCGAAGGCGGCUUACUGGACUGUAACGGACGUUGAGGCUCGAAAGCGUGGGGAGCAAACAGGAUUAGAUACCCGUGUAGUC
rnacentral:rRNA from 1 species